rnacentral:tRNA from 1 species
UGGGUUGUGGCUCAAUGGUAGAGUGCUUGCCUAGCAUGUGUGAGGCACUGGGUUCAAUCCCCACCACCACAU